UACAGAGGUCUCAAGCGUUGUUCGGAUUCAUUGGGCGUAAAGGGUGCGUAGGUGGCGCCAUAAGUCAGGUGUGAAAUCUCGGGGCUCAACCCCGAAACUGCAUUUGAUACUGUGGUGCUCGAGUACUGGAGAGGAGAUUGGAAUUUACGGUGUAGCAGUGAAAUGCGUAGAUAUCGUAAGGAAGACCAGUGGCGAAGGCGAAGUCUCUGGACAGUUACUGACACUGAGGCACGAAGGCCAGGGGAGCAAACCGGGGAUUAGAAAACCCC
rnacentral:rRNA from 1 species